GAUGAACGCUGGCGGCGUGCUUAAUACAUGCAAGUCGAACGAGAAACUUUUGUCUUCGAAUGGAGGUUUUCUAGUGGCGAACGGGUGAGUAACGCGUUGGUGACCUGCCCCGAAGUGGAGGAUAACAGUUCGAAAGGACUGCUAAUACUUCAUGAUAUCAAUUGGAUUAGAUACCUUUUGAUCAAAGGCGUAAGCCGCUUUGGGAGGGGCCUGCGUCCCAUCAGCUUGUUGGUAGGGUAAUGGCCUACCAAGGCUAAGACGGGUAGGGGACCUAAGAGGGUGACCCCCCACACUGGCACUGAAACACGGGCCAGACACCUACGGGUGGCAGCAGUAGGGAAUUUUGGACAAUGGGCGAAAGCCUGAUCCAGCAACGCCGCGUGCGCGAUGAAGGCCUUCGGGUUGUAAAGCGCUUUUAGUAGGGACGACGAUGACGGUACCUACAGAAGAAGUCACGGCUAACUUCGUGCCAGCAGCCGCGGUAA
rnacentral:rRNA from 1 species